rnacentral:rRNA from 1 species
GACGAACGCUGGCGGCGUGCCUAAUACAUGCAAGUCGAGCGGACUUAAAAAGCUUGCUUUUUAAGUUAGCGGCGGACGGGUGAGUAACACGUGGGCAACCUGCCUGUAAGACUGGGAUAACUUCGGGAAACCGGAGCUAAUACCGGAUAAUCCUUUCCUACUCAUGUAGGAAAGCUGAAAGACGGUUUACGCUGUCACUUACAGAUGGGCCCGCGGCGCAUUAGCUAGUUGGUGAGGUAACGGCUCACCAAGGCGACGAUGCGUAGCCGACCUGAGAGGGUGAUCGGCCACACUGGGACUGAGACACGGCCAAGACGCCUACGGGAGGCAGCAGUAGGGAAUCUUACGCAAUGGACGAAAGUCUGACGGAGCAACGCCGCGUGAGUGAUGAAGGUUUUCGGAUCGUAAAACUCUGUUGUUAGGGUAGAACAAGUACGAGAGUAACUGCUCGUACCUUGACGGUACCUAACCAGAAAGCCACGGCUAACUACGUGCCAGCAGCCGCCGUAA